rnacentral:rRNA from 1 species
UGGGGAAUAUUGCACAAUGGGGGAAACCCUGAUGCAGCGACGCCGCGUGAGCGAAGAAGGUUUUCGAAUCGUAAAGCUCUGUCCUAUGAGAAGAUAAUGACGGUAUCAUAGGAGGAAGCCCCGGCUAAAUACGUGCCAGCAGCCGCGGUAAUACGUAUGGGGCGAGCGUUGUCCGGAAUUAUUGGGCGUAAAGGGUACGUAGGCGGUCUAUUAAGUCAGGUGUGAAAGCGUGAGGCUUAACCUCAUUAAGCACUUGAAACUGAUAGACUUGAGUGAAGGAGAGGAAAGUGGAAUUCCUAGUGUAGCGGUGAAAUGCGUAGAUAUUGGGAGGAGCACCAGUAGCGAAGGCGGCUUUCUGGACUGCAACUGACACUGAGGCACGAAAGCGUGGGUAGCAAACAGG